UACGUAGGGUGCGAGCGUUGUCCGGAAUUAUUGGGCGUAAAGAGCUCGUAGGCGGUUUGUCGCGUCGGCCGUGAAAACUUGGGGCUUAACUCCAAGCUUGCGGUCGAUACGGGCAGACUUGAGUUCGGCAGGGGAGACUGGAAUUCCUGGUGUAGCGGUGGAAUGCGCAGAUAUCAGGAGGAACACCGAUGGCGAAGGCAGUUCUCUGGGCCGUAACUGACGCUGAGGAGCGAAAGCGUGGGGAGCGAACAGG
rnacentral:rRNA from 1 species